rnacentral:tRNA from 2 species
UACUGGAUAGUUUAAAUAAAAUAAUAAAUUUGGAGUUUAUAGUUAGAGUAAUCUUCUAGUAA